UACGUAGGGGGCAAGCGUUGUCCGGAUUUAUUGGGCGUAAAGCGCGUGUAGGCGGCCACGCAGGUCCGCUGUGAAAACUCGAGGCUCAACCUCGAGCUGUCGGUGGAAACCGCGUGGCUAGAGUCCGGAAGAGGGGACUGGAAUUCCCGGUGUAGCGGUGGAAUGCGCAGAUAUCGGGAGGAACACCCGUGGCGAAGGCGGGUCCCUGGGACGGUACUGACGCUGAGGCGCGAAAGCUAGGGGAGCAAACGGG
rnacentral:rRNA from 1 species